rnacentral:rRNA from 1 species
UACUGCCAGACGUUGGAACCGGGAGAGGUAAGAGGUACGUACAGGGGUAGGAGUGAAAUCUUGUAAUCCCUGUGGGACCACCUGUGGCGAAGGCGUCUUACCAGAACGGGUUCGACGGUGAGGGACGAAAGCUGGGGGCACGAACCGGAUUAGAUACCCGGGUAGUCCCAGCCGUAAACGAUGCUCGCUAGGUGUCAGGCAUGGCGCGACCGUGUCUGGUGCCGCAGGGAAGCCGUGAAGCGAGCCACCUGGGAAGUACGGCCGCAAGGCUGAAACUUAAAGGAAUUGGCGGGGGAGCACAACAACGGGUGGAGCCCUGCGGUUUAAUUGGACUCAACGCCGGACAACUCACCGGGGGCGACAGCAAUAUGUAGGCCAAGCUGAAGACUUUGCCUGAAUCGCUGAGUGGAGGUGCAUGG